UACGUAGGGGGCAAGCGUUGUCCGGAUUUAUUGGGCGUAAAGAGCGUGUAGGCGGCCUGGUAGGUCAGUUGUGAAAACUCGAGGCUCAACCUCGAGACGCCGAUUGAAACCAUCAGGCUCGAGUCCGGAAGAGGAGAGUGGAAUUCCCGGUGUAGCGGUGAAAUGCGCAGAUAUCGGGAAGAACACCCGUGGCUAAGGCGGCUCUCUAGUACGGUACUGACGCUGAGACGCGAAAGCGUGGGGAGCGAACAGG
rnacentral:rRNA from 1 species